GACGAACGCUGGCGGCGUGCCUAAUACAUGCAAGUUGAGCGCUGAAGGUUGGUACUUGUACCAACUGGAUGAGCAGCGAACGGGUGAGUAACGCGUGGGGAAUCUGCCUUUGAGCGGGGGACAACAUUUGGAAACGAAUGCUAAUACCGCAUAAAAACUUUAAACACAAGUUUUAAGUUUGAAAGAUGCAAUUGCAUCACUCAAAGAUGAUCCCGCGUUGUAUUAGCUAGUUGGUGAGGUAAAGGCUCACCAAGGCGAUGAUACAUAGCCGACCUGAGAGGGUGAUCGGCCACAUUGGGACUGAGACACGGCCCAAACUCCUACGGGAGGCAGCAGUAGGGAAUCUUCGGCAAUGGACGAAAGUCUGACCGAGCAACGCCGCGUGAGGGAAGAAGGGUUUCGGAUCGUAAAACUCUGUUGGUAGAGAAGAACGUUGGUGAGAGUGGAAAGCUCAUCAAGUGACGGUAACUACCCAGAAAGGGACGGCUAACUACGUG
rnacentral:rRNA from 1 species